rnacentral:misc_RNA from 1 species
GGUAACGAUGCUUGUUGGUUAGUCAUAUGCUUCUCAACCUCACACCUAAAUUUGGGGAACCUUUUUCUUAUGAUUUUGAGAGAUUUUCUGCUUUCUUUUCUACUUCAUAUUUUCUAAUAAUUUCCUUCGUUUUCUUUCACUGCUAGCACUUUUCCAACUCCCCAAGAUUUCUGAUUGGUGAAGUCUCUUGUCUUAAUUGGAGGAUCCUUGAUAAAAGAUGCGCUAUCCUUGCAUUACUCAUAAGAGAAUCUGAUGGAAGUUGGAGGGUUGCCAUACUGCCAAUUAGAUGUUUAGAUAAACUGGAAAAAUUGGUAUUUUGAGCUCAGCUGAAUAUGGGAGGUCUGCAUCUGGCUUCCCCACCAUCUGUCAACACAUUUAGUGGUGAUGAAAGCAAGGUACGGAAAGGGCCUCAAUCUAACCUUCCUUAUUCCAUCAGGUCUCAUACAACCAGAAGCCUUCCUGGAUCCAGCGUGCAGCAUCAAUCUCAAAAGAAGGGCCUGGAAAAUAAAGUGACUAGAUCAAAUGAAUUCUCUGAUUAUUCUUCCAGCAAGAGUUUUUUCACUUGCAGUGAUUCCUAUGAUUUGAUCCCAAAAGAAUGUAAUGGUAAUAAUUCAUCUUUUGUGUUUAUUGAUAGUUCCAGAGUGCAAAAGGCAAAGAAAAGUUUCAGAAAGAAAACAAGAAGGAAAGGAAAGCAGAAUAAGAAAGUAUCCAGUCACUGUGGAUUAACUGAACUGGAAGUUUUAUCCGAUUAUGCCUAUGAUCGUUCCACCUCUGAAACCUGUAGUUAUAAUGAUCGUGGUGAUGGAUUAUCAUCAUAUGAAACCUUACCCGAAGUUUCAUUGUCAGAAGAUAGCAUUAACUGUUCUGGGGCUCCAAAGUCAAUCACGUUCAACAGUGAUGAGUUUGAUAUGGUGGAAACUACUAUAUCUUCUAUGGAACAUCAAGUGAUUAAUUCGGAUAUUGGGAUUCAGGAGAAAGAUUAUGAAUUUUCCGUCCUUGAUGGCAGAAUGACAGAGGCUCAUAUUCAGAUCAAUUGUGAUGGUGAUAUGCAUUCCAAAAGUUUCUCAAAUAUUCCUGAAUCUCUAGUAUUGGACUCUGUUUCUGUUGGCUCAUAUGGUGAUGAUGGUAUUAAUGCCAAUCAUGAUGUAAAACCAUUUGAUAAAGGAAGUGGCAGAGUUUGUUUUGCGGAAUCACUGGGCAUCAAUUCUAUGAAGUGCUUAUUAGAUGGUGCUGUAGAUAUGUAUGACCACACGAAAGAGACAAAGCAUGGUAUUCAGAAUAUUAGCGGCAGUAAUGUGCAAUUUCUUGUGCCAGGCCAGAAAGGUAAGCACAUAAAAACCAUGCCUAGGAGUUCCACUGUCUACAAAUUUGGAGAUGGCCAGACAGGGAAGGAGAGCAACCGUUCCAUCUGGCUAAAGGUUGAGAGGAAUGAUGUAGAUGUUUGCAACUGUGAGUUCAAGAAUGUUCCAAUGUGCUCACAGUUCGAUGUUGCUCUGAAAGGGCCUCCUCUGCUUAAGAGAAAUUGUAAUGUUCCUGCAGUGUGCACGUCAUCCGGACCUGAAGAUAAAAAGCAGCCAAAACGCAAAGCUUCUAAGAAGUUGAAAAGAAAAAAUCGUCCAGGUUCCAAACAAGAAUACAACUGUUAUAAUGGAAGGAGUCCUCAUUCUAGCAAGGCUAGCUUAAAUUCUUGUGGAAAGGCUAACAUGCACAAGAAUGAAAUAUUGGAUAUCCCAGCUCGAGUUGUUGAUAAAAAAGGAGUGAAAAGCAUUUCGAAAGGCCAUACUCAGAAUGCUUGUCUGCAAGCUAGGUCCUAUAACAACAGAGUUGAAUGUGUGAAUUUUGAAUCAGACAUCUCGCCAAUUUUUCCAAAUGGAAUAAAGCCACCUGUAGGUACUUGCAAUUCUGUUUCUGAUAUAAAAAAUUACCGUACAGAGAGUAAGGAUAACUCAAUGCCAAAGUCAUGCAAUUUCUUGGACCAAAAAUUGAGUGAAGUGCAUCCUCCAAUUUACCUUCCUCAUCUUUUAGGUGGUAAAGUUUCCCAAGUAGAAAAUGAAGUUACCCUAGAAGGCAGUAAAAAGAACCAUAGUUCUAUAUCUACUCUGCAGAAAUGGAUACCUAUUGGGGUAAAAGUUCCUGGGUUGACCACAAUUAGUAGUUCAUCAUUGGAUCAUUUUGAUGGGCCAGCAGAAGACUGGACUUUGAGAGACACUGUUGAAGAGAAAGUCAUUUCCAAUUCUCAAGAUCUUGUUUCCUCGUUGACUUUGGGAGUGGACAAGGGUUCUGGAAAUGCUUCUUGGUUUUCUCAUGAAGAUAACACCAUUCAGAAUUUAAAAAAUCUGAAUGCUUUCAUGGUUGAGCACAAAAACAACCUUGUUACAUCCAACUGUUUAAUUAGUAAACCCAAAGAUCAGAAUUACUCAGUUUCUGAAGUUGAAUCAAAGAAGAUAGCACAAGCAGUGUCUGAUGCCUGUAGGAUACAGCUGGUAGCUGAGGCUGUUCAUAUGGCCAUUGGUGGCCCAAUUGCUGAGUUUGAAAGAGUUCUUCAUUUUUCUUCUCCAGUUAUUUGUCAAUCACCUAGUUUGUUAUGCUGUCAGACCUGCUUCCAGGACCAGCUUGUUGAUGUGGUACUAUGUAGGCAUGAGACCCCUAAUAUUUCAUUGGGAUGCCUCUGGCAGUGGUAUGAAAAACAUGGGAGCUAUGGGUUAGAAAUAAAAGCUGAAGAUUACAACUCAAGGAGACUGGGUUUUGAUCAUUUGACAUUUUAUGCCUAUUUUGUCCCUUAUUUAUCAGCAGUUCAACUGUUCAAAAGCCAUGCAAGUCAACACAUGAGGAAUAGCGACAAGGUUCCUUCACCUGGUCUCGUACAGACAUGUGAAAUUAGUGAAUCAUCAGACAACUGUAAUAUUGGUCAGCUUCCAAUAUUUUCUUUACUAGUUCCUCAGCGUCGCACAAGAGAUGCAUCUGAAUCUGUUGACAUGACAUGGCCUAGCGAUAUAGAGCUGCUUUUUGAGUACUUUGAAUCAGAUCAACCUCAGCGAAGACUUCCAUUAUAUGAGAAGAUACAGGAACUGGUUAGGAGUGAUGAAUCCACACAGCAUAAAAUGUAUGGCGACCCAACUAAUUUGGUCUCUGUGAACCUAUAUGACCUGCACCCCAGAUCUUGGUACUCAGUGGCAUGGUAUCCCAUUUAUAGGAUACCAGAUAGCAACUUUCGAGCCACAUUUUUGACUUAUCAUUCACUUGGCCAUUUUGUGCGCAGAGGCACCAAAUUUGAUUCCCACAGUAUGGAUGCAUGUGUGGUUUCUCCAGUUGUGGGUCUUCAGAGUUACAAUGCUCAGAAUGAAUGUUGGUUCCAGCUGCGGCACAUUGCAGCCAGCCAGACAACAGGAUUUCCGAGCAGAAUCUUGAAGGAGCAGUUAAAAACGCUGGAGGAGGCAGCAUCUCUCAUGUCAAAAGCUGUUGUAAACAAGGGGAGUGAGAUGUCUGUAAAUAGACAUCCUGAUUACGAGUUCUUCCUCUCUAGGCGAAGCUAGUGACUUCCAGUUUGUAUUUUAGAUUAGCAACUGAGAAUAGUCUUGUGUUUGCCAGUGACGAUGUAGCUUUCAGGUAAGAUUUAACUGCAUGUAAUGUAUAGGGCUCAAGUGGCUAAUCUACUGUCCUUUUUUAUUAUGUAAAUUUGUUUGAUAUUCAGCAAAGUAUACCUGUACAGUGAAUUUCCAAUAUUUUUGUCUCUUCCCUUUGUGUAUUUUUCAUGGGAAGAGAAUUGCCAAUGUUCU